GCAAUUCUAUUGACAGAAACAGAGAAUGCCUGUAACAUAUUAGUGGUUGAAAUAAAUAAACAAAUGUCAUUGCUAAUUAACAGUUCAUCAAGUAUUAAUUUAUUUUAUGAUACAAGAAUCAAUGUUGGAUAAAAUAGUUACUAAGAAAAAUUAUUUAUAUAAAAAAUGAACCUUUUUAUUUAUUUUCUCUUAUUGUCUUAUUUUUAUAUGAACUAUGAACAAUAAUUACAUAGAUAAUAAAAUUAAAAACCACAUAAAUACAAGAAGGCCACACAAUUCCAACUCAAUACCUCAUCAAAAUCAUAAAAAUAAAAGAACCCAUCAAGAGUGGAGAGAUUCUAAAUUUCUAAUCCAUUUAAUGCUUGAGGAAAGCAAGCAAAGACAAUAACAUGGAAGAGCAAAUCAUAGCCCCAGAGAUGCCCAAAGAAUAAGCAGCUCCCUUGUCCAUUGCUGGUGCUGGGGCUGGUGCAAAUUCUUGAGCAUCAACACUAGCAAAGAACAUUGCCACAACCAAAAAGAAAGAAACCAAAGCCUUGAAUGAGCUCAUUUGUGCCAUAGAGACAGAAAGAUUUGUAGCAAGAUUUGAAAUAUGUUAAA
rnacentral:misc_RNA from 1 species